GUCGCUUUGGCCGAGUGGUUAAGGCGUGUGCCUGCUAAGCACAUGGGGUUUCCCCGGAAGAGUUCGCAUCUGUCAGGCAAUG
rnacentral:tRNA from 1 species